AUUGAACGCUGGCGGCAGGCUUAACACAUGCAAGUCGAGCGGGGUGAUGGUGCUUGCACUAUCACUUAGCGGCGGACGGGUGAGUAAUGCUUAGGAAUCUGCCUAUUAGUGGGGGACAACAUCUCGAAAGGGAUGCUAAUACCGCAUAUGUCCUACGGGAGAAAGCAGGGGAUCACUUGUGACCUUGCGCUAAUAGAUGAGCCUAAGUCGGAUUAGCUAGUUGGUGGGGUAAAGGCCUACCAAGGCGACGAUCUGUAGCGGGUCUGAGAGGAUGAUCCGCCACACUGGGACUGAGACACGGCCCAGACUCCUACGGGAGGCAGCAGUGGGGAAUAUUGGACAAUGGGGGGAAGCCUGAUCCAGCCAUGCCGCGUGUGUGAAGAAGGUCUUCGGAUUGUAAGCACUUUAAGUUGGGAGGAAGGGCAGUAAGUUAAUACCUUGCUGUUUUGACGUUACCGACAGAGUAAGCACCGGCUAACUCUGUGCCAGCCGCCGCUGUAA
rnacentral:rRNA from 1 species